AGCGGCCCCGCGCAGCCGCCUGCCCGCCCCAGCCGGCCAAGGAUAGGCCCUGCCGCUGAGCUACUCCCCGGAACCGCUCCAGCCCAAACCUCCUCCUGCGGCAACGGUAACGAACGAAGGAGAAACACACUUCAGCCAGAGCAGCGGAAAUCGUAAUUGUUUCAGCUACCCGCCUUCCCAUGCUGCAUUUGCCGCCUGCAUGCCUAACUAGAUCAGCACAGAAACAGUAACAAGGAAAGGCAAAAGUACUAGGAGGUAAGAAAAGAUGAACUGCACUCCUUGUAAAUCAACUCCCUUUUUCCAAAUUACAUUAGCUAAUGGUGGCAGCACCUUCACGUCCUUUCACCUUCAAAAGCUGAUGUCUCAUUUAAGUAAUUCCAAGAAACAUGAGGGGGGGGGAGGAGUGGAGGCUGAGAAACAGAAAGGCAAACUUACACAAGGAGAAUUUUAAUAGCUUCCUGUAAGUUACUGUUGUCUGCAUUAGAACUAAUUUUUUGGCAUCAGUCCGGUAUUGGAGCAUCAGCCUUAGAGAUUCCUAAGCAGACAGAAUAAGGUACACGGCGGUGUCUGCACACACCAUGCAGAGAUGUCUGAAGCAGGACACAGUUUUACUAUUAAACAUUAUUUUUUAAUAUGACAUAUUAAUUUUAAGGGAGAAUGUGGAACUACAAAAGGGCUGUGUUACUCAAUAGCCAAAUGUCUCUACAGCCUGUAUUUUGUAUAGCUGAUAGCACCAAGUCACUAAUGGAUGAGACAGAAGUGUUGACUUUACAGGGACAGUCAGAAACCAGAUUUCCUCAACAGUGAACCCCGGAGAUGUUUUACUGUGAAUGCUGAAGGAACAGCUAUAAAAACCAUGUGAAACUUUAACUUGCACUAAUUAGCAUUUACAGCUUUUUUUACUGCAUCAACACAUUUAAAGCUGAAUCCUAGCUUGCAUUUCAGCUGGUCAAAACCAAAAUGAACCACAGAGCUUAAACUAUUAAUACUAGAUUUGAAAAGAAUAUAUAUCACAACUGAAUAAAGGCCACAUAUGGUAAUAUGGUAAAUGCUGUGCCACAAUUAAAUACAAAGCUAACAAUGCUGUGAUAAAAUGCACCCUUUAAAAUGAGACUGUUAUCUUAAAUACCUCUUUAAGAGAUGAGAAAUUACACCAUGUAUUCUUUACUUUCUAGUGUAGUUAUGUAAAACCUCCAGAUACUGCCUAAAACUCAGGGGAUGAAGCUAAGAAAUCAGUUGUGUUGGGAAAAAAGAAUGGAGUUGAUAUCCACGUCUUUGAGGAGAUGUCCACGAUCAUCCCCUGGAAAUUAUGGAUGCAUGUCUAUUAAGUACUUCUCUACUGCCACCUGAUGCUCAAACAGAAAACCUAUGGAAAAGCAGGAAUACUUCGACAGAGUAGGGUGCUGCAUAGAACACGACAAAGAAAAAGAACAUUUUGCUACCGAGACUGAGAAAAGGCAUUACUAUGAAAAAGGUCCAGUAAAUCAGUCAACCAACAGACAACAAGGGACAAGAAGCUACUCAGUCUAUUCUCUGUCCUGCACAGUCCCUCUCCUAAAUAAGUGGGAUGGCAUCCUUGAACAUAGCCAGAGUUUUGUCACACAAAACAGCAUUAACUCCUGUAUUCUGGGUGAGCCUAAUUUCUGGGUGAGCCUAAUUUCUGCUCUGAAGUCUACAGGAGUCAACCAGGCCUGCAGUGAACACGGGCAUCUCCGUUCUCAAUGCAUUACUUUGUACGAAGGUAUAGAGCUGCUUUUGCCUCAGGGCUGCCAAGUGCUUUACCAUCACUGUACUGGAAAACAUCCAUCCCUCAAGCAAAGAGUCUAAGAUACACAGAGGGUAGCCCCAUUGCCUGAGGUAACAGAGCAUUUUAACAGAAUAUUCUGAGUAUCGCACACUCGUGUUUCAACUGCUAACACCACUGUGCAAGCCUCUUGUUCAGCCUGAGAGUUACACAGGAUUAGCAGGACUCCUACACCACCCAUAAGAUAUACUGUAGAAUGUAACUGGAGACAUAACAAGAGCUUCUUUAAGUACAAAGCAUUAUUAAAGUUACAUCUCCUGCUAUUUGAAGUUUUUUUUCCUUCAAAAAGCA